AAAAAAACUCAGCAUUUGUCCAUUUUGAUGAAAGUAAUAGAUUUUCAAAUACGACCCAAAAAGUGUUCAACGGCAACUUGUUACUUAUUAAUAUUUUAAUUUACCAGUUCUUUAAUUUUCCAUAAAUAAGCAAUGCAGUAGUUCAAUUUUUCAUUUACCAUUUUAAUAAUAUACUCUAGUUUUUUCAUUUAAUUUACAAUAUAUACAAAUCUUACAUGUUAUUUGAUGAUCUCACAUUUAAAUAUUGGUUAUGGUUGCAUCUUUGUCUUUUUAACUCUUCUUGAUCUUUUCGAUCUUGUACACAAUUUUGGCUACAUUUAAUAACACUGUAAUCAUGUAUUUUAUAAAAAGUUCUAAAUUUGUUAUUCACACUUGUAUUUCUUUAAAAUAUAAAUUAUUAUUUAUUAGAAAUAAAUCUACAUAUAUUAAAACAAAUAUUAUACUACUUUAUUGUCAUAUAGAAAUAUUCAGACAUUUAUUGUUAAAAAAGUAAUAUAGAAUUUUGAUUGGACAUUAUAGUCCCAACAUUUAUGGAGGAGAACGCUUGCAAAAAGCCCGACAUUGACAAGACCCCUUAAUCUCCCUCUCACAAACACUUCUACCAUAAGGUCCAUAUAACUUUACACAUAAAGAUUUACACAGUGGAUCACAAGAUUUUUUUGUGUCAACUGGGACAUUAUACGUGCAAAACAAUAUUCUAUUUCCUUGCACAUCUGCCAUCAUUCCUGUUAGAUGUAGAAAUAUUAAAACUUUUAUAAAAUAUAAAAUUUAUUUAUCAACAAAAAUCUGCUUAAUAAAUUUUGUUUAACGCAUUAUAAACAAAAAGACACAGAGAUAUUUUUAGUAAAUAAAAAAAGGAGCAUAUGAUUUGAUAAAAAUGUUAACUUUUUAUUUUGUGAAAAAUAUUUUUAAGAAUGGUGUACAUAUUAAUAAAAAGUACAUAUAAAUUUUUGAUGUUUUAAGAAAAAUUACUGUAUAUAUUGAAAACCACAACAUAUUAACUACAAAAUAGAAAAAUCUAAUUCAAAAUAUUUCAUAAAUUUACAUAAGAACCAACGUUCAUCCAUAUUAUGAAAAUUGGUUGUUAACAUAUUUGGGAGUGGAAGGAAAAUGUAGAGAAAUAGAUGAUAAAAAUGAAGAUAUCUAAAAUCAUUUUAUGAUGGCAUUUCUUUAUAAAGACUAUACAUUUAAAAACUAAAAAUGGACUAAAAUAAAAAAUAUUACACAAAAAAAUAUAUUUGACUCUGUUUUCUAUAUUUUCAAGCUAUCUAGGUAUUUAGAUUUUUACACAAAUAUAUAAUUUUAUACUAUCUAUAUAUAUAAAGUUGGCUUUUCCCUUCUUAUGACAUGUGGAAGGGGGGUUUGUUGACAUGUGUCCUCAUAUUUGUUUUUGUAUUUUAAAUCCUUUUUCUUUUAAAUUAUUGCAAUUUAUUCCAUCAAUUUCUAAUUAUGUACUAUCUAAUCAUUCUCACACUUAUUAGUCCCUAAAAUUCAAGAUAUAAAUAAAACAAUAUAAAAAUAUUUUAAAUAUUUAAUUUAUUUACAACUAAAAAUAGCAUAAACUUUCACCAUUUUAUUAUUUUUACUAAUUUUUAUUAUUUCAUUUAAAAAUUAUAUAUUCAUUUCACUAUUAAUAUCAUAAGAUAAUCAAACUAAGAAUAAGAAACUAGAGCACCAACGCAAAUAACCAAGAAAGCGGGUCAGAAGGAGAAUAAUAAUCGAAAGGUCAAAGCCACCAAGAAGCAAGAACAUAUAUGCCUAAAGCACCAAAAUCGCAAUCAAUAGCUAAAAGGUAAGAAAUACCUCACAAACUAAACAAGAAUAUACAACACGGCCAUGCAAGUGAAAAACCACAAAGCUCUGGAUAGAAGGGACCAAAGCUCAAAGAGACUAACUCCGCACACCUAUAUCAAAGGAAACAUGGAAAGAAAAGAAACAACUUGAGGAAGGAGAAUGGAAGACAACCACCAAGAAAUCAGAGACUAAACUUGAGACCAGAAAUAACCUUCCAAACCCAUAUAACAUGCACGAACGAAAACAUUAUCCAAACCUCGAGUGGCAAACAUGGUGAAAGGGAGAGCCACCAGAGAUGCGAUGAAAGCUGCAAAGAGAUGCGAGAAUAGAGAAGGAAAGGGAGACGAAACGAAAUCAGAAAACAAUGAAGCCGUCCUCAAGCUAUGAAAGAGAGCAUAGAAGUCAGAACACCAAAAACUAGAUCUUGAAAACCAAGACGAGCAUAGACUAUUGACGGUAAGCCAACGAUGAGGAAUACAACAUCAAAAACGACUAAACUCUGACCCAACCAAGAAGAUGCAGUUCCUAACAUCAGCUGAAAUCUAAAGAAGAAGAGGAGCAGUCAAUAUUGACUGGAACAACCUACAAUGCCGUGAGAAUCAACCGAAAAACUGAAAACUGAUAAACCCGAUCUACAACAAAUACCAUAUAAUCUCACAGGUGAAAAAGACAAGGAAGAACAAGAGAAAUAUGUAAUUCUUUUUCCAGUGAUGGUGAGAAGCACCGCACACCAGAAAUAUAACAAAAUACAUAGACGAUGAUGGCUCAAGGUCAAAAAUAUAGGGAGAGGGCAAAAAACAUCUUAAAAGUUAUAAUUUUCAAAAAUAUGAAAAAAUAUAAUACAAUUUUGACACUGAAACCGUUAAUCUUAGAAUCAACAAAGUUAUUGAAAUUCAAUAUUCUUUUACAUUAGAUGCUCAUUUCACUACUAACAAGUACUAUACACACAACAACACAUUAUUCGAAAAAACAAACACAAAAUAUAUUAACCUAUCUUCUAUUACUACGUAACACACUAAAAACACCAAAUAAUGAUCUUAACAACUAAAAACGACAGCAUAAUUACAUUAUCUAAAAAAUUAUGUUCUUAGCAAUAAUAAAAAUCAUGUUCGCGUGGACACCCCCCUAGUAUUUUAUAUAGUAAACAAAAUUGAUUAUAUGGGGUUUACAAUAUAUUAAACAUAAAAAAUUUAAGGAUAUAAGUAUUAUAAUUAAUUAUAGAAGGAAUUAAUGCAAUAUAUUAAGAUGUAAAUACAAACCUAAUGAGAGAAUGAUAAACAUAGUUAAGAAGGUGAACAAGAGUUGAAAGGAUUUCCUCAUUUUGGAUUACAGAAAUCGAUUGAUACUUAGUUGAAAAUUUAGGGGGAAAAUGAAGUAUUCUAUUGUCCACAACU
rnacentral:lncRNA from 1 species